AACGAACGCUGGCGGCAUGCCUAACACAUGCAAGUCGAACGAGACCUUCGGGUCUAGUGGCGCACGGGUGCGUAACGCGUGGGAACCUGCCUUUAGGUUCGGAAUAACUCAGAGUAAUUUGAGCUAAUACCGGAUGAUGUCUUCGGACCAAAGAUUUAUCGCCUUUAGAUGGGCCCGCGUUGGAUUAGCUAGUUGGUUGGGUAAAGGCCUACCAAGGCGACGAUCCAUAGCUGGUCUGAGAGGAUGAUCAGCCACACUGGGACUGAGACACGGCCCAGACUCCUACGGGAGGCAGCAGUGGGGAAUAUUGGACAAUGGGCGAAAGCCUGAUCCAGCAAUGCCGCGUGAGUGAUGAAGGCCUUAGGGUUGUAAAGCUCUUUUACCCGAGAUGAUAAUGACAGUAUCGGGAGAAUAAGCUCCGGCUAACUCCGUG
rnacentral:rRNA from 1 species